CCCCGUACACAAAAAUGCACAUGCUGUGAGCUCGAUGAGUAGGGCGGGACACGUGGUAUCCUGUCUGAAUAUGGGGGGACCAUCCUCCAAGGCUAAAUACUCCUGACUGACCGAUAGUGAACCAGUACCGUGAGGGAAAGGCGAAAAGAACCCCGGCGAGGGGAGUGAAAAAGAACCUGAAACCGUGUACGUACAAGCAGUGGGAGCACGCUUAGGCGUGUGACUGCGUACCUUUUGUAUAAUGGGUCAGCGACUUAUAUUCUGUAGCAAGGUUAACCGAAUAGGGGAGCCGAAGGGAAACCGAGUCUUAACUGGGCGUUAAGUUGCAGGGUAUAGACCCGAAACCCGGUGAUCUAGCCAUGGGCAGGUUGAAGGUUGGGUAACACUAACUGGAGGACCGAACCGACUAA
rnacentral:rRNA from 1 species